rnacentral:lncRNA from 1 species
UCACUGUAACGUUUCCCCAUUUAACAAAACAUUUAUUUAUGUCCACAGUCAUAUCAACUAGCAAAUAAAACAUCCAAACACUGUAAUGAACCUCCAAACACAGCAGAUCAAAUGUAAAUAUUAGAAGUAGUUAUAUUUUAUUAUUGGUCACAUCGGUGGUAUAAUACAGACAGCUGGAGCCAGGGGGUCAGAGGUCAGGGCUCUGCCCUGCUGGGUCAGGAGAGGAGGGGCUUAGUGGUACUUCCUCCAGCGGUCGUGCUCUGAGAGGAGAAGAAGAGAGGGAGAGAGAGAGAGAGAGGAGAAGGAGAGAGGGAGAAUGGAGAAGUGGGGACAGAGAGCGAGAGGGGACAGAGGUUAACGUCAGAUCGUCCUUCCCAGUGUCUGUACUCACUGAGGUGGUCGUACUCCCACAGUGUCUGUACUCCCACAGGGUUAGGGUUAGUACUCACUGAGGUGGUCGUACUCCCACAGUGCAGUGUCUGUACUCCCACAGUGUCUGUACUCCCACAGGGUUAGGGUUAGUACUCACUGAGGUGGUCGUACUCCCACAGUAUCUGUACUUACUGAGGUGGUCGUACUCCCCCAGUAUCUGUACUUACUGAGAUGGUCGUACUCCCACAGUGUCUGUACUCCCACAGGGUUAGGGUUAGUACUCACUGAGGUGGUCGUACUCCCACAGUGCAGUGUCUGUACUCCCACAGUGUCUGUACUCCCACAGGGUUAGGGUUAGUACUCACUGAGGUGGUCGUACUCCCACCAGGGUUAGGGUUAGUACUCACUGAGGUGGUCGUACUCCCCCAGGGUUAGGGUUAGUACUCACUGAGGUGGUCGUACUCCCACCAGGGUUAGGGUUAGUACUCACUGAGGUGGUCGUACUCCCACCAGGGUUAGGGUUAGUACUCACUGAGGUGGUCGUACUCCCCCAGGGUUAGGGUUAGUACUCACUGAGGUGGUCGUACUCCCCCAGGGUUAGGGUUAGUACUCACUGAGGUGGUCGUACUCCCACAGGGUUAGGGUUAGUACUC